AACCAGCACCUCAAGUGGUCAGGAGGAUUAUUGGGCCUAAAGCAUCCGUAGCCUGCUCUGUAAGUUUUCGGUUAAAUCCAUGUGCUCAACGCAUGGGCUGCCGAAAAUACUGCAUAGCUAGGGAGUGGGAGAGGUAGACGGUACUCGGUAGGAAGGGGUAAAAUCCUUUGAUCUAUCGAUGACCACCUGUGGCGAAGGCGGUCUACCAGAACACGUUCGACGGUGAGGGAUGAAAGCUGGGGGAGCAAACCGG
rnacentral:rRNA from 1 species